rnacentral:rRNA from 1 species
GCAGUAGCCGCGGUAAUACGUAGGGUGCAAGCGUUAAUCGGAAUUACUGGGCGUAAAGCGUGCGCAGGCGGUUCGUUAAGACAGAUGUGAAAUCCCCGGGCUUAACCUGGGAACUGCAUUUGUGACUGGCGAGCUAGAGUAUGGCAGAGGGGGGUAGAAUUCCACGUGUAGCAGUGAAAUGCGUAGAGAUGUGGAGGAAUACCGAUGGCGAAGGCAGCCCCCUGGGCCAAUACUGACGCUCAUGCACGAAAGCGUGGGGAGCAAACAGGAUUAGAUACCCGCGUAGUCCCUGUCUCUUAUAU